UCUGUAGGUUGUUGGUUAAGUCUAUGGUCAAAUUCCGAAGCUCAACUUCGGGCCGGCACUAGAAACUAAUCAACUUGAGUACGUUAGAGGCAGGGGGAAUUCCCAGUGUAGCGGUGAAAUGCGUAGAUAUUGGGAGGAACAUCAAUGGCGAAGGCACCCUGCUAGGCCGAUACUGACACUGAAAGACGAAAGCUAGGGGAGCAAAUG
rnacentral:rRNA from 1 species